rnacentral:rRNA from 1 species
CUCACCAAGGCGUCAACGGGUAGCCGGCCUGAGAGGGUGACCGGCCACACUGGGACUGAAACACGGCCCAAACUCCUACGGGAGGCAGCAGUGGGGAAUAUUGCACAAUGGGCGAAAGCCUGAUGCACCAACGCCGCGUGAGGGACAACGGCCUUCGGGUUGUAAACCUCUUUUACCAGGAAAGAAACGAAAGUGACGGUACCUGCAAAAAAAGCGCCGGCUAACUACGUGCCAGCAGCCGCGGUAAUACGUAGGGCGCAAGCGUUAUCCGGAAUUAUUGGGCGUAAAGAGCUCGUAGGCGGUCUGUCGCGUCUGCUGUGAAAACCCGAGGCUCAACCUCGGGCCUGCAGUGAGUACGGGCAGACUAGAGUGCGGUAGGGGAGAUUGGAAUUCCUGGUGUAGCGGUGGAAUGCGCAGAUAUCAGGAGGAACACCGAUGGCGAA